CGCUGCCGGGCGACCUAUUCCGUCAGAAGCGAUGGCAAUGCCCUCCAGCAGACGCUGCGUUGUGCAAGCGACAGCUACAAGAUCGAACUCACGAGCAAUGUCGUGUCCGAUGGCGGCAAGUUGACCGGGACCUGGAGUGAGGCGACCCGCAAUGUCAGCGGCGACGUCCAGGGGGCGACAUCCGGCGGACGCUUUCAGGUCGUGGUGAGUGCCGGUACGUUUUCUGCGGACCUCGUGCUGACCACCCGCGGCAACUCCCAGUCGGUCGUCAUCCGCUCGACGGGUGGGGAAUUCAAGGGUGCCAACAUCACGCUGACGCGCACUUAGGCCGUUCAAGAAC
rnacentral:misc_RNA from 1 species